UUGUUGUUCCUUUGAACAUGACUGUGAACACGUAACAUAGUGCUACCGGGGAAGUCCAUCUCCUCGGCCCUGCCGGCCCCAGCCUGUUGGCUGGGAGUCGGAAUACGGCGCGGGAUGUCGCCAAGGAACACUGAUUUGCUGAGGCAGACGACAGUAUGCUCGUAAUGCCGAAGCCAACUAAACAUUAUGACUCUCGGCAACGGAUAUCUCGGCUCUCGCAUCGAUGAAGAACGUAGCGAAAUGCGAUACGUGGUGUGAAUUGCAGAAUCCCGUGAACCAUCGAGUCUUUGAACGCAAGUUGCGCCCGAGGGAUCCUCCCGAGGGCACGCCUGCCUGGGCGUUAGAAGCCCAUCAACGCUCGGUCAACCUUUUUACAGAGGAAAGACUUGAUGUGGAAAAUGGACCUCCGAGUCAUUAGUGGCACGGUGGGCUGAAGUGCAUGGUCGUCGGAUUGUAACAGGAUCGGCGAGUGGUGGGCUACUGCGCAUGCCGAUCCUGAUUGCCAUUUUGACGUAUGGCCUUUAUACCCCAGUUGAAACGAGGGGAUUGUUGUUGCAUCAUCUAGUUGCUUGACAAUUUCGGACCGAUACCCCAGGUCAGGCGGGGCCACCCGCUGAGUUUAAGCAUAUCAAUA
rnacentral:rRNA from 1 species